GAUGAACGCUGGCGGCGUGCCUAAUACAUGCAAGUCGAGCGAACAGACGAGGAGCUUGCUCCUCUGACGUUAGCGGCGGACGGGUGAGUAACACGUGGAUAACCUACCUAUAAGACUGGGAUAACUUCGGGAAACCGGAGCUAAUACCGGAUAAUAUAUUGCACCGCAUGGUUCAAUAGUGAAAGACGGUUUUGCUGUCACUUAUAGAUGGAUCCGCGCCGCAUUAGCUAGUUGGUAAGGUAACGGCUUACCAAGGCGACGAUGCGUAGCCGACCUGAGGGGGUGAUCGGCCACACUGGAACUGAGACACGGUCCAGACUCCUACGGGAGGCAGCAGUAGGGAAUCUUCCGCAAUGGGCGAAAGCUUGACGGAGCAACGCCGCGUGAGUGAUGAAGGUCUUCGGAUCGUAAAACUCUGUUAUUAGGGAAGAACAAAUGUGUAAGGAACUAUGCACGUCUUGACGGUACCUAAUCAGAAAGCCACGGCUAACUACGUG
rnacentral:rRNA from 1 species